rnacentral:rRNA from 1 species
UCGAGCGGGGGAGGUUGCUUCGGUAACUGACCUAGCGGCGGACGGGUGAGUAAUGCUUAGGAAUCUGCCAUUUAGUGGGGGACAACAUUCCGAAAGGAAUGCUAAUACCGCAUACGUCCUACGGGAGAAAGCAGGGGAUCUUCGGACCUUGCGCUAAAUGAUGAGCCUAAGUCGGAUUAGCUAGUUGGUGGGGUAAAGGCCUACCAAGGCGACGAUCUGUAGCGGGUCUGAGAGGAUGAUCCGCCACACUGGGACUGAGACACGGCCCAGACUCCUACGGGAGGCAGCAGUGGGGAAUAUUGGACAAUGGGCGGAAGCCUGAUCCAGCCAUGCCGCGUGUGUGAAGAAGGCCUUAUGGUUGUAAAGCACUUUAAGCGAGGAGGAGGCUACCAGUAUUAAUACUACUGGAUAGUGGACGUUACUCGCAGAAUAAGCACCGGCUAACUCUGUGCCAGCAGCCGCGGUAAUACAGAGGGUGCGAGCGUUAAUCGGAUUUACUGGGCGUAAAGCGUGCGUAGGCGGCUUUUUAAGUCGGAUGUGAAAUCCCCGAGCUUAACUUGGGAAUUGCAUUCGAUACUGGGAAGCUAGAGUAUGGGAGAGGAUGGUAGAAUUCCAGGUGUAGCGGUGAAAUGCGUAGAGAUCUGGAGGAAUACCGAUGGCGAAGGCAGCCAUCUGGCCUAAUACUGACGCUGAGGUACGAAAGCAUGGGGAGCAAACAGGAUUAGAUACCCUGGUAGUCCAUGCCGUAAACGAUGUCUACUAGCCGUUGGGGCCUUUGAGGCUUUAGUGGCGCAGCUAACGCGAUAAGUAGACCGCCUGGGGAGUACGGUCGCAAGACUAAAACUCAAAUGAAUUGACGGGGGCCCGCACAAGCGGUGGAGCAUGUGGUUUAAUUCGAUGCAACGCGAAGAACCUUACCUGGCCUUGACAUACUAGAAACUUUCCAGAGAUGGAUUGGUGCCUUCGGGA